rnacentral:lncRNA from 1 species
AUGCCCUGUACCAACAUAGAGCAGAGCAGCUAUCUGAACGCUACUCCAACAGAGGUCGAUUAUCUUGUUAAUAAUUUUACCUCCUCACUACGUACGACUCUGGAUACUGUAGCUCCUGUGAAAACUAAGGCCUCAAAUCAGAAGUACCUGACUCCGUGGUAUAAUUCUCAAACACGUAGCCUAAAGCAGAUAACUCGUAAGCUGGAGAGGAAAUGGCGUGUCACAAAUUUAGAGGAUCAUCAUUUAGCCUGGAGAAAUAGUUUGCUGCUUUAUAAGAAAGCCCUCCGCAAAGCCAGAACAUCUUACUAUUCGUCACUGAUUGAAGAAAAUAAGAACAACCCCAGGUUUCUCUUCAGCACUGUAGCCAGGCUGACAAACAGUCAGAGCUCUACUGAGCCAACCAUCCCUUUAACGUUAACUAGUAAUGACUUCAUGAACUUCUUCACAAAUAAAAUUCUAAUCAUUAGAGAAAAAAUUACCAAUAAUCAUCUCACAGAUGUAAUAUUAUCUACAGCUACUUUUAGUACCAUCAAUGUUAAGUUAGACUCUUUUUCUCCAAUUGAUCUUUCUGAGUUAACUUCAAUAAUUACUUCCUCCAAACCAUCAACGUGUCUUUUAGACCCCAUUCCUACAAAACUGCUCAAAGACGUCCUGCCAUUAAUUAAUUCUUCGAUCUUAAAUAUGAUCAACCUAUCUCUAAUAAUCGGCUAUGUACCACAGGCCUUCAAGCUGGCUGUAGUUAAACCUUUACUUAAAAAGCCAUCUCUAGACCCAGCUGUCUUAGCUAAUUAUAGGCCAAUCUCCAACCUUCCUUUCAUAUCAAACAUCCUUGAAAGAGUAGUUGUCAAACAGCUAACUGAUCAUCUGCAGAGGAAUGGCUUAUUUGAAGCGUUUCAGUCAGGUUUCAGAGCUCAGCACAGCACAGAAACAGCUUUAGUGAAGGUUACAAAUGAUCUUCUUACGGCCUCUGACACUGGACUCAUCUCUGUGCUUGUCCUGCUAGACCUCAGUGCUGCGUUCGAUACUGUUAACCAUAAUAUCCUAUUAGAGCGAUUAGAACAGGGGUGGGCAAUCUCAGUCCACGAGGCCGGUGUCCCUGCAGGUUUUAGAUGUGUCCUCGAACCAACACAGCUGAUUUAA